AGUGAACGCUGGCGGUAGGCCUAACACAUGCAAGUCGAACGGCAGCACAGUAAGAGCUUGCUCUUACGGGUGGCGAGUGGCGGACGGGUGAGGAAUACAUCGGCAUCUACUUUUUCGUGGGGGAUAACGUAGGGAAACUUACGCUAAUACCGCAUACGACCUACGGGUGAAAGCAGGGGAUCUUCGGACCUUGCGUGAUUGAAUGAGCCGAUGUCGGAUUAGCUAGUUGGCGGGGUAAAGGCCCACCAAGGCGACGAUCCGUAGCUGGUCUGAGAGGAUGAUCGGCCACACUGGAACUGAGACACGGUCCAGACUCCUACGGGAGGCAGCAGUGGGGAAUAUUGGACAAUGGGCGCAAGCCUGAUCCAGCCAUACCGCGUGGGUGAAGAAGGCCUUCGGGUUGUAAAGCCCUUUUGUUGGGAAAGAAAAGCAGCAGGUUAAUACCCCGCUGUUCUGACGGUACCCAAAGAAUAAGCACCGGCUAACUUCGUG
rnacentral:rRNA from 1 species